AGCGAACGCUGGCGGCAGGCUUAACACAUGCAAGUCGAACGGUCCUUCGGGAUAGUGGCGGACGGGUGAGUAACACGUGGGAACGUACCCUUAGGUUCGGAACAACACAGGGAAACUUGUGCUAAUACCGGAUAAGCCCUCCGAGGGAAAGAUUUAUCGCCUUUGGAGCGGCCCGCGUCUGAUUAGCUUGUUGGUGAGGUAAUGGCUCACCAAGGCUACGAUCAGUAGCUGGUCUGAGAGGAUGGCCAGCCACACUGGGACUGAGACACGGCCCAGACUCCUACGGGAGGCAGCAGUGGGGAAUCUUGCGCAAUGGGCGAAAGCCUGACGCAGCCAUGCCGCGUGGAUGAUGAAGGUCUUAGGAUUGUAAAAUCCUUUCACCGGGGACGAUAAUGACGGUACCCGGAGAAGAAGCCCCGGCUAACUUCGUGCCAGCAGCCGCCGCCG
rnacentral:rRNA from 1 species